GAAUUCUUAACAGUAAAGUUCUGUAAUUGAGACAGAAUUCCCAAAUAAAGUCAAGAGUAAAAUUCAGAUAGAGGAGCAGUUAUACAUCAGUGGGAAAUUUGGUUGGCAGAAAAAUUACCAGGUCAUAUAACUUAAUGAUAGACGUGAAGUCUUAUUUAAAAUGAUUCUCUAAAAUUGAAGAAUUGGAUUAAGGGGGCCUUGUUUGGCUGAUUUUCAUACUUUUUCCUCUUAGUCUACAGGUUGGCUGCAUAGAAGAAAAAGGUAGAGUUAUUUAUAAUCUUGUAAAUCUUGGACUUUGAGUCAUCUAUUUUCUUUUACAGUCAUCGAAUACUUUUGGAAAUAAGUUAAUAUAUGCCUUUUGAGCUGUCUUGACGUUCAAAGAUAUAAAAUAUUAAAUAUAUUUUAAUUUUGUGCCCUUGCAGAUUGAUCACUUAUUCAUUAGUAAUUUACCAGAGAUUGUGGUGGAGUUAUUGAUGACGUUACAUGAGCCAGCAAAUUCUAGUGCCAGUCAGAGCACUUACCUCUAUGACUUUUCAGGGGAUUUGGAUCCUGCUCCUAAUCCACCUCAUUUUCCAUCACAUGUGAUUAAAGCAACAUUUGCCUAUAUCAGCAAUUGUCAUAAAACCAAGUUAAAAAGCAUUUUAGAAAUUCUUUCCAAAAGCCCUGAUUCCUAUCAGAAAAUUCUUCUUGCCAUAUGUGAGCAAGCAGCUGAAACAAAUAAUGUUUAUAAGAAGCACAGAAUUCUUAAAAUAUAUCACCUGUUUGUUAGUUUAUUACUGAAAGAUAUAAAAAGUGGCUUAGGAGGAGCUUGGGCCUUUGUUCUUCGAGACGUUAUUUAUACUUUGAUUCACUAUAUCAACCAAAGGUAAAUAACAUAUUUAGACCAAUAUAUAAGCAGUCUUUCUAUCCUGUUCUUCCUGUUUGUUUGCUUUGUUUUGUUUUGUUUUGAGACAAAGACUCACUCUGUCUGCCCAGGCUGGGUGCAGUCACGGCUCACUGCAUCCUCAACCUCCUGGGUUCAGAUUAUCCUUCCUCCUCACCCUGCUGGGUAGCUGGGACUACAGGAGCAUACCACCACGCCUGACUAAUUUUUUGUGUUUUUUGUAGAGGUGGGGUUUCACCAUAUUGCCCAGGGUGGUCUCAAACUCCUGGGCUCAAGUGAACUGUCAGCCUCAGCCUCCCAGUGUGCUGGGAUUACAGGCAUGAGCUACUAUGCCCAACCUAUCCUGUUCUUUUAAUUGAAAGUUUAUAUGCUUCUAAGAGGUAGAUACCAGAAUGUUGCUUUCUGAAUUUUGCUUUUUAAGAUGUCUAUUAUAUUUACCUAUUAGUUUUUAAAAAUUGCACUACUUGCCUGGGAAACAUAGCAGACCUCGUUUCUACUAAAAAUUUUUUAAAAAAGAAAAUUAGGGCAAGGUGUGGUAGCUCACACCUAUAAUCCCAGCACUUUGGGAGGUUGAGGUAGGUAGACUGCUUGAGCCCAGGAGUUAGAGACCAGCCUGGGCAACAUGAUGUGAAACCCCAUCUCUACAAAAAUUUUUUUAAAAAUUAGCCAGGGAUUGUGGCAUGCACCUGUAGUCUCACCUACUCCGGAGGCUGAGGUGGGAGGAUCGCUUGCACUCAGGAGGCAGAGGUUGCAGGUUACAGUGAGCAAAGAUUGUGCCACUACACUCCAGCCGGGGAGAUAGAGCGAGACUCUUGUCUCAAAAAAAAAAAAAA
rnacentral:sRNA from 1 species